UACGUAGGUGACAAGCGUUGUCCGGAUUUACUGGGCGUAAAGAGCGCGCAGGCGGUCGAUCAAGUCGAGUGUGAAAGCCCCCGGCUCAACUGGGGAGGGUCAUUCGAUACUGAUCGACUCGAAGGCAGGAGAGGGUAGUGGAAUUCCCGGUGUAGUGGUGAAAUGCGUAGAGAUCAGCAAGAAUACCCGUGGCGAAGGCGGCCCCCUGGGCCGAACCUGACGCUGAGGCGCGAAGGCUAGGGGAGCGAACGGG
rnacentral:rRNA from 1 species